rnacentral:lncRNA from 13 species
AUGUGGCUUCUGUCUCUCCCCCAGAGUUCUUUGAUAUUAGUGAUCACAAGUGUGUCCGGGCCUUCACCUUCAUUGAUCUGGACAGCUGUGCCCUGGUCAUGGACUACUGGUCUGACUAUCACCGAGGUGUGUUCUGCUAUGGGGACGCCAAGGGCAACGUCAUCGUCUUCACCUCCGAAAACGUGGCCAGUGGGCUAUUCAACCCCCGUAUCCUCCCCAGGGCCUCCAAGUGGGGUAGCUAAGAUGCUGGGGGAAGGGGGCGGAGGCCUGGGCAUGGCCUAGAUGUGGGUGCUGAGCCCAUCCUGAUCCCCAUGCCCCCCACUCCCUGUUUCUGCUUGGGAGCCUCUGGGAAGAUGUCUUUCUGAGUGCAGGGUGCGUGCCGCUCAGCUCAGAGUGCAGAGGGAGAGGUGAUGGGCAGCAGAAGACCAGGAGGGCUGGGGAGAGGGCAGCCUCUCUGUGGAUGGGAGGCUGCACGGGUGCAGCCGAGGGGUGCUGGAUGCUUCUCACCCCAGGAUGAUGCCAGUGGGGGGGACCAUGGGGAAGUCCCUCAUCCACUCUGAUCCUGGGUGAGAGCGCUGAUGCUAACUUCCUGGGAUGGUGGUGAGGAGGCUUCUGCUCUCCUUGGCUCUGGUGUUGCCUUUGGGUGGGCAGGGGCUGUCCGGGAGGUGGGCUCUGUGGGGCUUGGGCAUGGCCUGGCUGGCAUGGGUGAGUGGGUGCACCAGCGUCUGGAGCACCCCCUGCUGGGCCUACUGUCAGGAGGGAGGAGCUGUGGCUGCAGCGCAGAAUAAGAGGCAGAGAGGGGUGAGGUCAGCUGCGCACGCCCCUGCUGGGUGAGCAGGGCGAGGAUCUGAGGUCAGGCUCCCUGCCCUGGAGUCUGUGCUGUCAGCCUUUUGUGGGCUACAUCCCACAUUGACUAAACGCAGGAGGGUCACUGGAGCUGUUAUGCCCAGGUCACUAGAUCUCCAGAGGACAUGGCUCGGGGCCACCUAGGGAACCCAUCUGAAUUGGAGCCUCUCUGGAAUCCAGCCUUGCACGCAUAUCCACCAGGGGGCCCACACAGGGACAUCGACCCCUCUUCCAGCCAGAGAUACUAAGCGGGACACUCCAGGGCUUCCCAGGCCUUGGUGGCAGCCCCCUGGCAGGCUUGUUGGGGCAGCCUCCUACGCUGACAGGGCAGGGACAGAUCCUGUCCUGGACAUAGCAGUGGGCUGGCACCUGCUUGCCUCAUCAGCCUUGGGUGCCUGCCCUGCCCUGAGCUGCCCACUCAGCUGCUUGGGCCUCG